rnacentral:piRNA from 1 species
UAUCUUUCACAAUGAUGGUUGUACUGGUU